UGGGGAAUUUUGCACAAUGGGGGAAACCCUGAUGCAGCGACGCCGCGUGAUUUAGAAGGCCUUCGGGUUGUAAAAAUCUUUUCUAUGGGAAGAAAAUGACAGUACCAUAGGAAUAAGGACCGGCUAAUUACGUGCCAGCAGCCGCGGUAAUACGUAAGGUCCGAGCGUUGUACGGAAUCAUUGGGCGUAAAGGGUACGUAGGCAGGUAAGCAAGUUAGAAGUGAAAUCCUAUAGCUCAAAUAUAGUAAGCUUUUAAAACUGCUCAUCUUGAGGUAUGGAAGGGAAAGUGGAAUUCCUCGUGUAGCGGUGAAAUGCGCAGAUAUUAGGAGGAAUACCGGUGGCGAAGGCGACUUUCUGGCCAUAACCUGACGCUGAGGUACGAAAGCGUGGGUAGCAAACAGG
rnacentral:rRNA from 1 species